rnacentral:rRNA from 1 species
UACGUAGGGUGCGAGCGUUAAUCGGAAUUACUGGGCGCAAAGCGUGCGCAGGCGGUGAUGUAAGACAGAUGUGAAAUCCCCGGGCUCAACCUGGGAACUGCAUUUGUGACUGCAUCGCUGGAGUGCGGCAGAGGGGGAUGGAAUUCCGCGUGUAGCAGUGAAAUGCGUAGAUAUGCGGAGGAACACCGAUGGCGAAGGCAAUCCCCUGGGCCUGCACUGACGCUCAUGCACGAAAGCGUGGGGAGCAAACAGG